GUUUGAAGGCUCAGUUUAGUAGGGAUAAAUUCAGAGAGGAUUGGUAAUGGAUGCUGAAGGAAAAUAUGUUGUUAGAAAAAUUCAUGAGAUUUGUCUGGUGUGCCCUGCCAAAAAAAAAGAGCGACAAAUUCCCCCGCUAAAUACAAUUUACGGACCUUUCCGAAAACGGCCCCGGUGACGUCACUAUAACCGGCAUUGCCGGCCAAGGGGGCUCAAAUGGCAGACCAUUUGUAGAGGGGAAAUAAAUCUUAUCAAUUCCGCACGAGCCCGCAUUCAAAAAGGUGGGUAAAUAUACAAAAAUUGUCUUUAAAAAGAAACAUUUUUUUUGAGUUUUGACAGAAACGGCUGCCCGGACUGGCUGCGGUUGGUGUCAUUUGGAUCCAGGGGCUGAAAAAGUUGACGGACAACAUGAGCCUGGCGUGUGGUGACAGAUGUUUGCUGUGCGACAUGUUCCCGUCCUCUUGCCCAACGGUGCCGAAGCUUCCGGACUUCAAACCUCUCACGGAUCCCAGUUCUCACUUCGAACAUUGCAUCAGUAUUUGGACAGAUAAGACCGGUGUCAUGUGUGUGUGUGUUCCGGAUUUUGUCCUCACACACCUGCUCCUGUGAGCAUCUUCACCACCUGUGCCUCGUUCAACCUAAUUAGCCCUCGUAUUUAACCUCGUGCCUCGUUGUCCCUCUCGUUGCCAGUUCGUUGUACCUUGUCGUCGCGUUCCAGCAUUCCUUGUUUCCACGUCACAGACUCACAGUAAGACUUGACCCUGUUCCGAUUAUCGACCUUGCCUCUUUGCCUCAUGUUUUUGGAUGCUGUUGCCUUUCUUGGAUUGAUCUACGCCCGUAUAUUAAACCUCUCUUUUUGGAAACUG